UGGUCCCGCCCCGCGAAGCGUUUCCGCUUCCUCCCGCGCGGCCGCAGACGCGGAGCAGCUCCGAGCUCGCCCGGCCAGCCAGCGGCGGCCUGCGGAGGGAUCCCCGCGUCUCUUUCUUCUUUCGACAGUGUGGGUGUGUGCGUGCUUUUCCCCUCCCAUCGUUCUCCCGCCGCCGCACGCCGACUUCGUCCGAGGGCUGCAGCCAGCGGCAUGCGGCCGGACACCUUGCUUCCACCGCUUUUGCCCCAAAUACCGUGCCGUUGUUCGUCGUCGGUCUAGAGGAUCGACCAGCAGAAGCUGUAACAGCGACCUGCCGACAUUCCUUGCGCCCCUCCGGCACCGCCGCCAGUGGAUUUGGGCAUUCAGGUGGCCGCCAAGCCUCCCCAUUUCUCCGGCCGUGCUCACCGGCUCUCCCGAGAAGAAAGGCGGACGCGCCCCGGGCCGGUCAACGGGUGGCGGCGCGCUCGAUGGUAUUCUGUUCAUGCGGGGCUGAAGCGGCGCAUCAACAUGUGAGCAUCGCUUUCUCUCUUCCGCCAAGAACUUCCGGCAACCCUUGUGUCGUCUGCCUACGCAGUCGGACUGAUGCGCUCAGCGGUCGGUUGGCGAGUUGACUAGUCAGUGGCCGCCAUGACAUGCAGAGCGCACGACUACAAGGCUCUGCUCAAGGUG